rnacentral:lncRNA from 1 species
UAUCUUCUAGGUAAGCCACCACUGGACGAUAAUCAGAUGCCACCAUCCCUAAAUAUUCUGUAUAAAAACAUGGAAAUAGAGUGUGCCACUCCUCGUUUGCUAAAGCACAAUCUAGACGACAUCUGAUCAUCACUACCCCUUUUCCUCUUCUCUCUUGCCAUGACAUUUUGUUUCCCGGAGCCGGAAACUCCAAUAAUCCACUAUUUCUUCUUAUGUUGUUAAAAGGAAUAAAUGAAUCCACACUUCUCAAAGAACCUCCCUCUUUUUCAUGAUUUCCAGUGAUCUCAUUUAAAUCGCCAAUGAUAAACCAGGGUUCAGAUCGUGAGAGCCUAUAUCUAGUUAAUCGCCCC